AGAGUUUGAUCAUGGCUCAGGAUGAACGCUAGCUACAGGCUUAACACAUGCAAGUCGAGGGGCAGCAUGGUCUUAGCUUGCUAAGGCUGAUGGCGACCGGCGCACGGGUGAGUAACACGUAUCCAACCUGCCGUCUACUCUUGGCCAGCCUUCUGAAAGGAAGAUUAAUCCAGGAUGGGAUCAUGAGUUCACAUGUCCGCAUGAUUAAAGGUAUUUUCCGGUAGACGAUGGGGAUGCGUUCCAUUAGAUAGUAGGCGGGUAACGGCCACUAGUCAACGAUGGAUAGGGUUCUGAGAGGAAGUCCCCCANAUUGGAACUGAGACACGGUCCAAACUCCGUACGGGAGGCA
rnacentral:rRNA from 1 species